CAAGAAAAGUUAAUUGAGAAGUUACGUUUUGUUGGAGAGGUAUAGAUAUGAACAUUUUUGAAAACAUUCUGAUUUGCAGUAAAUGAGACACCUGCAUUGUCAUGUAAGAUACGAUUAAUACCAAUCAGUGUUCUAAUUUUAACGAUACUUUCUAAAGAUUGUAACAGUUUAUGUCUUUGAGUAGUAUACAAUGGUCAUUCAAGGAAAUAAUG